rnacentral:lncRNA from 1 species
CUAAUGCCUUGAGUAGGUGACCGGGUGUGCACUACCCCUCAAUGAGCUGUGAACAGGCCUACUGCUGUUUCAUAAUGUGCAUUUGGCUUUCCUGGACCUACCGUGAAGAUCUUUUAAAUCUCAGUUUUCUUCCAGCUCCUGGUAAUAGACUUACACCGAAACAGUCCUCCCACGCCACAAGAUCAAUGGAACCCUGGAAGCUACAAGAGAAAGAAAUUAGAAUGUGCAUCAAAUUUGUGAAGCUCAUAAGGAAAA